ACGUAGGAGGCGAGCGUUAUCCGGAUUUACUGGGCGUAAAGCGCGUGCAGGCGGUGCGAUAAGUCGUGCGUGAAAGCUCCCAGGCUUAACCGGGAGAGGACGUGCGAGACUGUCGGACUAGAGGCAGGUAGAGGCAAGUGGAAUUCCGGGUGUAGUGGUGAAAUGCGUAGAGAUCCGGAGGAACCCCGGUGGCGAAGGCGACUUGCUGGGCCUGAACUGACGCUCAUGUACGAAAGCGUGGGUAGCAAACAG
rnacentral:rRNA from 1 species